AGUGAACGCUGGCGGUAGGCCUAACACAUGCAAGUCGAACGGCAGCACAGUAAGAGCUUGCUCUUACGGGUGGCGAGUGGCGGACGGGUGAGGAAUACAUCGGAAUCUACUUUUUCGUGGGGGAUAACGUAGGGAAACUUACGCUAAUACCGCAUACGACCUACGGGUGAAAGCAGGGGAUCUUCGGACCUUGCGCGAUUGAAUGAGCCGAUGUCGGAUUAGCUAGUUGGCGGGGUAAAGGCCCACCAAGGCGACGAUCCGUAGCUGGUCUGAGAGGAUGAUCAGCCACACUGGAAAUGAGACACGGUCCAGACUCCUAAGGGAGGCAGCAGUGGGGAAUAUUGGACAAUGGGCGGAAGCAUGAUCCAGCCAUAACGCGUGGGUGAAGAAGGACUUAGGGUUGUAAAGCCCUUUUGUUGGGAAAGAAAAGAAGCAGGUUAAUACCGCGCUGUUUUGACGGUACCCAAAGAAUAAGCAAAGGCUAACUUCGUG
rnacentral:rRNA from 1 species